rnacentral:lncRNA from 1 species
UUCGGGUUAGGCACACAUCACAGGUUCAAAUCGUGACAUUGACAAAAGCUUGAUAUUUAAGUGGAAAAGGGUAGAGAGAGAAGCUCCUUACCCACUGAUUUUCAAACCGUGUGAAACUUGCCUUGGGAAGUAUCUCAAUCAUCAAGAAGAGAAAGGAAUAUGAGCAUCCAACAAAGAUCUUAAAUCAGUCGGUGGAGUGACCCCAAAAUAUUUGUAAAACCCUCAAGACAUGUUGGACAAUUCAAUUUAGGGUUCACAUAUGAACUUCAAUACAGAGCUACGAGUGUGAGAAUGACUUGUUGAAGGUCUGGCUCUGCCACUUUGAUACCAUGGGAAAGAAAAAACGGAGCACCCAAGCAUUAAAGCAAUGGGUGGAGAAGCACAAAACCUUUAUAAACCUCUCUUAAAACAUCAAAUGGUCCUACUUCCCUUCGUGAUCAGCCUCAAAUGGUGUCCACAUCUUAAUAUGACAUAAAAGUUUUAGGAGGCCCAAAUUUUCUCCUCUCAAUACAAAUAUUAUCUCCAUUCUAUUUCACCGAACUAUAGAAGUCAACGGAAGACCUCAAAAUUUUCCCCAAUGAUUACUAACCAAUUACAUUUUGAAAUAACAUAAAUGAACAAGCAUGACAAAAUGACACAAAAGUUUUAAGAGGACCACAUUUUCUGCUCAUAAUACAAAUAUUACCUCCAUUCAAUUUCACUGAACCAUAAAAGUCAACGAAAUACCCCAAAAGUUUGCCCAACGAGUACUAAACCAAUUUACAUUUUUCAAAAACAUACACGAACAAGCAAAGGUAAAAGCAUAAGAAUUUGCUCAAGCCUCAAAGCUUGACUCAUUUAUAGCCCCUAUCCUUAUAAUCUCACAAGACAAAAACUGCCAAUUGGAAGUAUCAUCAAUCCUAGAACCUGACAAUCCACACUUAUACCCUGAGGAUGUAUUAAGAGCCUGUUUGGAUGGGCUUAUAAGCUGGUCAAACUGGCUUAAAAGCCAGUUUUUGACUUAUUAGAGUGUUUGGCAAUUAUCAAAGUGACUUAUUUUAAGUCAAAAAUGACUUAUUUUAAGCCAAAAGCUAAAAGCUAG